CCUGCAGCCCUGAGCGGGGCCCUGCUGGGCUGCCUCUGCCUGGCAUUGCUUUUCCUGGGCGGUGCGGACAAGCGCCUGCGUGAUAACCAUGAGUGGAAAAAACUAUGGUCCAGCACUGGCCUGAGACAGUAUGCGAGACAGUUGAAAACGACUGUAGAGACCCUCCGGAUUACUGGACAAUACAUGGGACUAUGGCCCGAUAAAAGUGAAGGAUGUAAUGGAUCGUGGCACUUUAAUUUAGAAGAGAUUAAGGAUCUUUUGCCGGAAAUGAAGGCAUAGUGGCCUGAUGUAAUUCACUCGUUUCCCAAUCGUAGCCACUUCCGGAAGCAUGAAGAAGCAUGGGACCUCUGCCGCCCUGGUGGACGCACUCAACUCCCAGAAGUACUUUAGCAGAAGCCGGGAACUCUACAGGGAGCUGGACAGCAACAGUGUGCUCCUAAAACUGCGGCUAAAACCAUCCGUCAAUUACUACCAAGUUGCAGAUUUUAAAGAUGCCCUUGUCAGAGUGUAUGGAGUGACACCCAAAAUCCAGUGCCUUCCGCGAAGCCAGGAUGGGGAAGUACAGACAAUUGGUCAGACAGAACUUUGCCUCACUGAGCAAGGCCAGUAGCUGCAAAACUGCACCGAGCAGUGCAGGUUUGGGGGGUGGGGGGGUAGUGGCGGGAAAGCAGCCGUCCCCCAAGUAGGAAGUUUGGCUGGCGGAUGGGGCUGCCAAGAGCCGGGGUCUGAGGGUAUGUGAAGAUGGCCCAGUCUUUUAUCCCCCACCUAAAAAAAAACAA
rnacentral:lncRNA from 1 species